AGCGAACGCUGGCGGCAGGCUUAAUACAUGCAAGUCGAGCGGGCCCUUCGGGGUCAGCGGCAGACGGGUGAGUAACGCGUGGGAACGUGCCCUUCGGUUCGGAAUAACCCUGGGAAACUAGGGCUAAUACCGGAUACGCCCUUAUGGGGAAAGGUUUACCGCCGAAGGAUCGGCCCGCGUCUGAUUAGCUUGUUGGUGAGGUAACGGCUCACCAAGGCGACGAUCAGUAGCUGGUCUGAGAGGAUGAUCAGCCACACUGGGACUGAGACACGGCCCAGACUCCUACGGGAGGCAGCAGUGGGGAAUAUUGGACAAUGGGGGCAACCCUGAUCCAGUCAUGCCGCGUGAGUGAUGACGGCCUUAGGGUUGUAAAGCUCUUUUACCCGGGACGAUAAUGACGGUACCGGGUGAAUAAGCCCCGGCUAACUUCGUGCCAGCAGCCGCCGUAA
rnacentral:rRNA from 1 species